rnacentral:rRNA from 1 species
AUUGAACGCUGGCGGCAGGCUUAACACAUACAAGUCGAACGGUAACAUAAAGGAGCUUGCUUCUUGGAUGACGAGUGGCGGACGGGUGAGUAAUGCUUGGGAAUCUAGCUUAUGGAGGGGGAUAACUACGGGAAACUGUAGCUAAUACCGCGUAGAAUCGGGAGAGGAAAGUGUGGGAGCGUCGGGCCACAUGCCAUAGGAUGAGCCCAAGUGGGAUUCGGUAGUUGGUGAGGGACAGGCUCACCAAGCCGACGAUCUCUAGCUGGUCUGAGAGGAUGACCGGCACCACGGAGACUAGACAACGGCCCGAACUCCUAGGGGAGGCAGAGGUGGGGAACAUUGCGAAAUGGGGGAAACCCUGACGCAGCCAUGCCGGGUGAAUGAAGAAGGCCUUCGAGUUGUAAAGUUCUUUCGGUGGCGAGAAAGGCAUUUAGUUUAAUAGACUAGGUCAUGGACGUUAACUACAGAAGAAGCACCGGCAAACUCCGU